rnacentral:rRNA from 1 species
GCGGGGUGUAGCAAUACAUCUAGCGGCGAACGGUCGCGUAACACGUAAGCAACCUGCCCCGAAGACCGGGACAACAGUCCGAAAGGAUUGCUAAUACCGGAUGUGGCCUUCUAUCUGCAUGGAUGGAAGAUUAAAGCCUGUACAAGGGCUUCGGGAGGGGCUUGCGGCCUAUCAGCUAGAUGGUGGGGUAACGGCCUACCAUGGCGACGACGGGUAGCUGGUCUGAGAGGACGGCCAGCCGGACUGGGACUGAGAUACGGCCCAGACUCCUACGGGGGGCAGCAAUUAGGAAUCUUGCGCAAUGGGCGAAAGCCUGACGCAGCGACGCCGCGUGAGGGAAGAAGGCCUUCGGGUUGUAAACCUCUUUUGUCGGAGAAGAAGAAUGUGACGGUAUCCGACGAAUAAGCUCCGGCUAACUCCGUGCCAGCAGCCGCGGUAAUACGGAGGGAGCGAGCGUUGUCCGAAGUUACUGGGCGUAAAGCGCGCGUAGGCGGGGAAUUAAGUGAGAAGUGAAAGGCUGGGGCUCAACCUCAUGCAGUGCUUCUCAUACUGGUUCUCUUGAGGGCGGUAGGGAGAAGUGGAAUGGCUGGUGUAGC